CCUCUGCCAGGAUUUCCCAUGGAGAUUCCAUAAAAAUUUAUCUGGGGUGGAGGUCUCAUACGCCCCACCUCCAAUACCACCUCUGCCAGGAUUUCCCAUGGAGAUUCCAUAAAAAUUUAUCUGGGGGUUCCCAUACGGCUUCUUGAUCAAUCAUGUCAUCCUUAUCAAGUGAUGCAACUGAUACAUUUGAUCAAUCAGUGCCAUUGCCAAAAAUUCUACUAGAUGGCACACAGGCCCUUUAGUGAUCUUCCAAAGUGAACUACCUCAAUGUGAAAAUAUUUGUAACAUGUCCCACUUUCAUAUAUAUCCAAUUCCAUAUCUUUCCUUGUAUACCCACAAUACAAAAACAGAAAGAUGGUCAUGUUUCUCUUCAACCUUUACACAUGUAUUCGUUAAAAACUUUUCCCCCUUUUUCUAAGCACAUCAAUGGUCAACAGCUUGUUCAUGCUGAGCAACCAAUAAAACAUUUACUUUCAUUGGGUACAAAGGAUACCAUUGCUGCAUCCCACCCUCAUGUCUGGUUUUCUGGACAUCCAAGAAGAGCAUAAUUCAUUAUGGGAGGAGAUCAUGAAUUUGCAUGAUGCUAUCAUGUUUGAGGGAGAUGGUGAAAAUUGGAGAUUUUUUGGGUGGGAGAAUGGGAGGAAGAUGACACAUGAUUGAGAAGGAGAAUAAGGGGCGAGAGACAUGUACGGUUUUCUAGGCAUCCAAGAAGAGCAUAAUUCAUUAUGGGAGACGUCAUGAAGUUGUAUGAUGCAUCAUGGUUGAGGGAGAUGGUGGAAAAUUGGAGAUUUUUCGUGGUGGGAUGGGAGGAAGAUGGCACAUAAUUGACAGGGAGAAUAAGGGGCGCGAGAGUGGACCCGUGCAAAAUAAGGGGUCAUCAAGCAAACUGCCUGACAGAGAACCCAUCGUGAGAGAGAAUAGAAAUUACCAGGUCAAAGAGAGUGGAUGAGAGAGAGAAUAAAAGGUAUAGCAUUUAGUAGAGAGAGAGAGAGCGAGUUUGUCAAGAGAGGGAUGUACUUACAAUGAAAUCACCCCAAUUUGUCAAGAAGAGCAUCAUUAUGGGAGAGGUCACGAAGUUGUGUGAUGCUAUCAUGUUUGAGGGAGAUGGUGGAAAAUUGGAGAUUUUUCGUGGUGGGAGAAUGGAAGGAAGAUGGCACAGGAUUGAGAGGGAGAAUAAGGGGCGAGAGAGUGGGCCCGUGCAAAAUAAGGGGUCAUCAAGCAAACUGCCUGACAAAGAACUCAUCGUGAGAGAGAAUAGAAAUUACUGUCAAAGAGAGUGGAUGAGAGAGAGAAUGAAAGGUAUAGCUUUUAGAGAGAGAAUUUGUCAAGAGAGGGGAUGUACUUACAAUGAAAUCACCCAAGUCAAUAGAAGUUAAGUACACGAAUCAUAAAAACUCUAGGUUGUGCUUUUCAAAACUCAAAAGCAUGACUAUGUAAAAUCAUUACAUAUACUUCACAAACGUUAUAUGCAAAUGGAUUUCAGACAUUACCUUUUUAUUUAUUUUGUUGACAUGAAUUCGAUAUUACCUUAUUGAGAAUAUAGAACGCACUAUGGACGGGGGUAAUGAUUAAAAAAAUUCUCUACAAAGUAAUAGCCCAUUUUGUUCAAUAUGUACUAAUGGUUAUUUAAAAUAAAAGAAGAGCCAAACAUACUUUGUUCAAUAUGUACUAAUGGUUAUUUAAAAUAAAAGAAGAGUCGAACAUACUUUGUUAGCAUACCAGAUACUUUGUCAAAUUAACCUUAUAUAUUAUCAGGGUUUUUUUUUUUUUAAACAAAGGUAGCAUUUACUUCUUCAUUCAUUCAUUUAUUCACAAAAUAACACAAGUACUUUCCCAAAAAAAAAAAUGAAAAUAACAUAAGUACAUCAACAAAAUGCAGCAGUAAUGCAAUUUAUAAAAAUUGCCAUCACACAAUAUACAACAUUACCAAAAAACUCCAACUAUUUACAUUCAAUCGUUCCCCCUAACUCUGGGCCCAUCUUUAUAUCACAGUUUACACUUGCAUCUAGACUGCAUCUUUAAGCCAAAGCAUCUGCUGCUGAGUUUUUCUCUCUAUAUACAUUAAAUCUUUCCCCCUAACUUUGGGCCCAUCUUUAAUAUCACAGUUAACACUAGCAUCUAGACUGCAAAGCAUCUGCUGCAAGUUUUUCUCUCUAUAUACAUUCAAUCUUUCGCCCUAACACUUGCAUCUAGACUAAAUCUUUAUCCAAAGCAUCUGCUGAUGAGCUUUUCUCUCUAUAUACAUUCAAUCUUUACCCCUAACUCUAGGCCCAUCUUUAAUAUCACAGUUAACACUUGCAUCUAGACUGCAUCUUGAGCCAAAACAUUUGCUGCUGAAUUUUUCUCUCUAUAUAUACAUUGAAUCUUUCCCACUAACUCUGGGCCCAUCAUUAAUAUCACAAUUAACACUUGCAUCUAGACUGCAUCUUUAUCCAAAGCAUCUGCUGCUGAGUUUUUCUCUCUAUAUACAUUCUUUCCCCCUAACACUUCCAUCUAGACAUUAUCUUUAUCCAAAGCAACUGCUGCUGAGUUUUUCUCUCUAUAUGCAUAUGAACCAAUUAUCAGGAAAUGAACCAUAACCUCCUCCCAAAGCAUCAAAGGCACCUCCAUUUUCUUCUUACACCAAUGAAUCACAUUCAUGGGGUGUCAUACUCAAUGAUCCACCAAAUUGCUAAGCCACCUUAAUCCCUUGCAACACUGAUCUCAGCUCCAUUUGCUAUUAAUAAUACACAAAGCCCACAAGAUCUCUUUAAAAUUGUCCCAAUAUGAUCCCUAACCGGCUCUCCAAUAUACCACAAUUAUCUCUAUAAAAUUGUCACAUUUCCUUCGUACACUAAUGAGUCACGUUCAUAGAAUCACCUACAAUGAUCCAUUAUCACCAAUCUGCUACUCUAAUCCCUUGCAGCACUGAUCUUAUCUCAGCUCCAUUUGCUAUAUUAAUAAUAAUACACAAAGCCCACAAUAUCUCUUUAAAAUUGUCCCAAUAUGAUCCCUAACCAGCCCUCUAAUAUACCACAAUUAUCUCUACAAAAUUGUCACAUUUCCUUCGUACACCAAUGAGUCACGUUCAUGGAAUCACCCACAAUGAUCCAUUAUCACCAAUCUACUAUUCUAAUCCCUUGCAACACUGAUAUCAUUUCAGCCUCAUUUUCGGUUAACACCCCACAGGCCCACAAUAUCUUUUUUUAUGAUCCUUAACUGCACCUCCAAUACCACCUCUGCCAGGAUUUCCCAUGGAGAUUCCAUAAAAUUUAUCAGGGGGUUCCCAUACGCCUGCUUGAUGGGUACUACAUGUCAUACUUAUCAAGUGAUGCAACUGAUACAUUCGAUCAAUCAUUGCCAUUGCCAAAAAUUAUUUUCUAGUAGAUGCCCCACGCAACCCCUUUAGUGAUCUUCCAAAGUGAACUUUCAUCAACCUAACAUUUGACAACUCCCACAAUGUGAAAAUAUCACACACAUGUUUUGUAACAUGUACUGCACCCGCUUCCACAAUGCAAAAACAGAUGGUCAACCUUUACACAGAAUACAUGUAUUUGCUAAAAACUUUUCCCCCUUUUUCUAAGCACAUCAAUGGUCAACAGCUUGUUCAUGCUAAGCAACCAAAUAAAAUAUUUUACUUUCAUUGGUACUGGGCAACUUCCAAAUUCUGACCCACCUCAUCUCUUGCCAUUGUCUUCUAUCAUUAAAGAGCAAGUCAUAUAUGCCUAACAAUAAAAGCCCCUUGAGAAUUUGGUUCCAAAUGAUAUCUUUUCCUUAGAUAGUAAUAAUAGAACCUUUCACCACCUCUUCACCAAUCCAAGUAAUAUUCCAGAUGGCAUUAUACCCAUAUGCAUUGACCAUCUCUUUCAUAUUUGAAUUUAUGAAGUCACUUUUGCAAACGAAGUUGGGAACUGUACCUUUAGAGAUCUGUCCCCACCCAAUUCUAUUGCUAGAAUCUGGUUUGUUCCAUCUCCCGCCGAUACUCUCAUAUUUCUUAAAAUACUUCAUUUUGUGCAACAACCCCAUCCAAAUCUGAGUAAAGCCUUUCUUGUUUAAGCUCUCAUAUGCCAUCGGUAUUUCCCACAUUUCUCUAAGAAUAUCCUUUUCCAUAACUGAUCAUCUUUCAUUCAGCACUAGUCAACCUUUUCACAUCCAUUCUUCAUAGGUAGGUACAAACCUUAUCCCAAGCUACCAAACAGAAAUUCUUUUUUAUCUUCAUUUUCUUCCCACAAAAACCUCUCUUGGUAUUCUAAACAAGGACACAAAAGUAAACUAGAGUUUGACAAAGUUAACCUAAUUAAAGUCAAUCUCCUUACCAAGAUAAAAAUCUCCCUAUAAAGUCAAUUUCCAUAAGUCAAGCUUAAACUGCACAUUUUGGAUCACAGGGUCCCAUAUAGAUCUAGAAGCCAUUGAACCUAUAACAGGAAACUUCCCUACACCACAUCUAAGAACUACAAGAAACCCUAUAAUAAGGUUGGUCUUGUUCCAAUUCACUCUAAGACUAGUAACCACCUCAAAACAACACAAGAAACUCCUCAACGUUAUUAUUUCACACUAUUUGUGCACUACGAAAAGUUAGUGUGUCAUCUGCAUACCAAAAAUGUAAUAUCUGACUUCUUCUAUCACUCACUUUAAAUCUCUUCAAUAGUCCAGCCUCCACUAAGUCUGCAACACACUGCAUCUAAUUAAAGUCGACCUAAUUAAAGUCAAUCUCCCUCCCAAGGAUUAAAAAUUUAGCUUUCCAACAGUCAAGCUUAAACUGCACAUCUAAUUAAGGUCGACCUAAUUAAAGUUAAUACUCCCUCACAAGGAUUAAAAAAACUUAACUUUCCAUAAGUCAAGCUUAAACUGCACACUUUGGAUCACAGGGAGGUUGGUCUUGUUCCAAUUCACUCUAAGACCAGUAACCACCUCAAAACAACACAAGAAUCUCCUCAAAGUUAUUAUUUUACACUCUUGUGCACUACAAAAAGUUAGUGUGUCAUCUGCAUACCAAAAAUGUAAUAUCUGGCUUCCUCUAUCACUCACUUUAAAUCUCUUCAACAGUCCAAACCUCCACUAAGUCUCUAAGCAUCACACUAUAUCCAAUUAAAGUUGACCUAAUUAAAGUCAAUGCACUACGAAAAGUUAGUGUGUCAUCUGCAUACCAAAAAAGUAAUAUCUGGCUUCCUCUAUCACUCACUUUAAAUCUCUUCAACAGUCCAAACCUCCAGUAAGUCUCUAAGCAUCACACUACAUUCAAUUAAAGUUAGGCCUAAUUAAAGUCAAUCUUCCUCCCAAGGAUUAAAAAUUCAGGUUUCCAUAAGUCAAGCUUAAACUGCACAUCUAAUUAAAGUCGACCUAAUUAAAGUCAAUCUCCUCCCAAGGAUUAAAAAUUUAGCUUUUCAUAAGUCAGGCUUAAAACUGCACACUUUGGAUCAUAGGGUCCCAUACAGAUCUAGAAGCCCUUGACCCUAUUAACAGGAAACAUCCAUACACCAUAUCUGCAGCAAUUUUUCCCGCUCUUCAUCAUUUCAACACACCCAUAUAAGGUUGGUCUUGUUCCAAUUCACUCUAAGAUAACACAAGAAUCUCCUCAAAGUUAUUAUUUCACACUCUUGUAAACUACAAAAAGUUAGUGUGUCAUCUACAUACCAAAAAUGUAAUAUCUGGCUUCCUCUAUCACUCACUUUAAAUCCCUUAAAUAGUCCAACCUCCACUAAGUCUCUAAGCAUCACACUACAUGUCUCAACCAUUAAGGUAAACAAAAAGGCGACAGUGGAUCACCUUGUCUUACACGCUUGUUGCUUUGAAAAGGCCCUUGGGUCGUCCGUUUAUCAAAAUUGAUAAAACAGACAGAACUCAAACACUCCUCAAUCCAACUUAUCCAUUUAACCACAAAACCCAUUUGCAUCCAUCACUUUCAUAAGAACACCCCAGUCCACCUUGACAUGGGCCUUUUCCAAAUUGAUUUUACACAUUAAGCCGGUGCCCCUAGCUUUACUUGAGCUAAUACACUCAUGAGCACACAAAAUAUAAUCCGUAAUUUGUCUCCCUUUUAAAAUGCAGACUGUGGCCCAUUACAGGGCUUAUGCUUCUCUAUAUAAAAUUAGUAGUCAAUUCAAAUCGUAUCUCAAGUAAUACUGGAGCAAUUCAAGUCAUGCGUUUUCAUGGGGAUUGACCCAAUGCAAGACUGCCCCUCCCAUUUCACCUUCCGUUCUCCUUGUACUUUGUGCCUUGCUUUCCUUUGUCUGCACCUCCAGAAGCAACUUGAUCCAUUUCCUUGAAUUUAUUCUCAAAAACAUAAAACUAAAAGAAAAUGAAUAAUAAUUCCUAGCUUUAAUAAUAUUUAGGAAUGUGAUGCAGCCAUGAAAGAAUCAACCCUAAUUUGCAUCAGAAUGAUACCCCAACUUUUGCCUAUAUAAAAGUGAUUCAGCCAUGAAAGAAUCAACCCUAAUUUGCAUCAGAAUGAUACCCCAACUUUUGCCUAUAUAAAAGUGAUUCAGCCAUGAAAGAAUCAACCCUAAUUUGCAUCAGAAUGAUACCCCAACUUUUGCCUAUAAAGUGGCAGUUUAAUCGUAACAGUCAGCUAAAUAAAUCGAAUUUGUCUCCCAAAAGAAUAUUCCCAUGAGAUGUUCAUGAGUUCCUAACAUGACCGCAGAACCUAAAAGAAAAGGAUAAUAAUUCCUAGCUUAAUAUACUUAAGAAUGUAGCCAUAAAAGAAUCGACCCUAAUUUUCAUCAGAAUGAUACCCCUACUUUUCCCUGUAUAAAAGCGAUGCAGCCAUGAAAGAAUCAACCCUAAUUUGCAUCAUCAGAAUGAUACCCCAACUUUUGCCUAUAUAAAAGUGGCAGUUUAAUUGCAACAUUCAGCUAAAGAAAUCAAAUUUGUCUCCCAAAAGGAUAUUCCCAUGAGAUGUUUCAUGAGUUCCUAACAUGAUUGCAGAAACCAUCAACAAUAAAAAGUUCACAUGCAACACUAAUAAAGAAAUAAGACACUCCUAGGUAACUUACCUUGGUUUUCAAGGCUUGCAGAACACGGUUGGCCGGCGUUACAGAGAGAGAGCGAGUAAACUUAGAGAGAGAGAGAGACUGAGAGAGAGAGAGGUAAGCCGAGAGAAAGCAUACAGGAAUGAAAGAAAGAUUCGAAAGGGCAUUUUAG
rnacentral:lncRNA from 1 species